CUGGGCUUGACAUGGGAACGACCGCUCGAGAGAUCGAGUUUUCUCUUCGGAGACGUUCCGCACAGGUGCUGCAUGGCUGUCGUCAGCUCGUGUUGUGAGAUGUUCGGUUAAGUCCGGCAACGAGCGCAACCCCUGUCUUUAGUUGCUAACGAGUUAUGUCGAGCACUCUAAAGAGACUGCCCGGGUUAACCGGGAGGAAGGUGGGGAUGACGUCAAGUCCUCAUGGCCCUUACGCCCAGGGCUACACACGUGCUACAAUGGUCGGUACAGUGGGAAGCAAUACCGCAAGGUGGAGCAAAUCCUUAAAGCCGUCCUCAGUUCGGAUUGGAGGCUGCAACUCGCCUCCAUGAAGCUGGAAUCGCUAGUAAUCGUAGAUCAGAAUGCUACGGUGAAUACGUUCC
rnacentral:rRNA from 1 species